UUGCCGUCCAACAGAAAGAAGAGGACAAAUGGAAGAAAGAAAAAGACAACUGGAAGAAAAAGGAAAACUUGAAGAAAGAAGAAAACAACUGGAAGAGUAAACAAGACAACUUGGAGAAAGCAGAAGACAACUAGAAAAGAGAAAACAACUAGCAGAGAGAAGACUGUGACUGCGAGGCUUCUUCAGAGGAUGAACAGCCCAACAAGAACCUUUGACUUAGAAUAGCAGCUGCUGCACAUGUUUUGGCCACAAUCAUCGUGAAGUUCGUCUGCAUGAAUUUUGAUGGAAAAAGAAGAGAGGAGGAUGACUGCCAUAGACAAGGAACAGCAACCAAGUGGCUCUUACCAAGGAUUGGUA